rnacentral:lncRNA from 1 species
CUCCAGGUUGGUAAUGGGCUACCAUAUCCUCCAGGUUGGUAAUGGGCUACCAUAUCCUCCAGGUUGGUAAUGGGCUACCAUAUCCUCCAGGUUGGUAAUGGGCUACCAUAUCCUCCAGGUUGGUAUCAUAUCCUCCAGGUUGGUAAUGGGCUACCAUAUCCUCCAGGUUGGUAUCAUAUCCUCCAGGUUGGUAAUGGGCUACCAUAUCCUCCAGGUUGGUAAUGGGCUAUCAUAUCCUCCAGGUUGGUAAUGGGCUACCAUAUCCUCCAGGUUGGUAAUGGGCUACCAUAUCCUCCAGGUUGGUAAUGGGCUACCAUAUCCUCCAGGUUGGUAAUGGGCUACCAUAUCCUCCAGGUUGGUAAUGGGCUAC